rnacentral:rRNA from 1 species
CACGGGGGGGAGCAAGCGUUGUUCGGAAUCACUGGGCGUAAAGGGCGUGUAGGCGGUCAGGUAAGUGGGAUGUGAAAUGCCUCGGCUCACCCGAGGCACUGCAUUCCAAACUGCUUGGCUUGAGUAUGGGAGAGGAUGAGGGAAUUCCUGGUGUAGCGGUGAAAUGCGUAGAUAUCAGGAGGAACACCAGUGGCGAAGGCGACUUACUGGACACAUAUUGACGCUGAGGUGCGAAAGCGUGGGGAGCAAACAGG